AGCCUUCUAAAUCUAUGUCGAGAUCUCGUCAGACACCAGACCAUCAGUACUGAUGAGACUCAUAAGAUAAGUGAAGUG
rnacentral:pre_miRNA from 1 species